AGUUACUGGAAAGAGACCUCUCUUCCCCUGGAUGGCAUCGUGUGAAGACGUGUGACUUGCAGUCACUGUGGACAUUUGUGACCACAGAGACCCAUGAAACUGGAUGAUGAAGCCAAAUCUAAUACCACAGAAGGCAGAGCAAGGAGAGGGGGAGAGGCUGGCCUUGGUGACAUUGUUUGAAUCUAGUCUUCUCUGAAUCAGUCCCACCUUAGCCCUUCUCAAUCAUUCAUGCUAACUAUCAUGUCAUGAGGACACUCA
rnacentral:lncRNA from 1 species